UACGUAGGGGGCGAGCGUUGUCCGGAUUUAUUGGGCGUAAAGAGCGUGUAGGCGGCCAGGUAGGUCUGCUGUGAAAACUCGAGGCUCAACCUCGAGACGUCGGCGGAAACCAUCUGGCUAGAGUCCGGAAGAGGGGAGUGGAAUUCCUGGUGUAGCGGUGAAAUGCGCAGAUAUCAGGAGGAACACCGGUGGCGAAGGCGGGUCUCUGGGCAGUAACUGACGCUGAGGCACGAAGGUCAGGGGAGCAAACGGG
rnacentral:rRNA from 1 species